GGGGGCUAGCGUUGUUCGGAAUUACUGGGCGUAAAGCGCACGUAGGCGGCUUUGUAAGUUAGGGGUGAAAGCCCGGGGCUCAACUCCGGAAUUACCUUUAAGACUGCAUCGCUAGAAUUGUGGAGAGGUAAGUGGAAUUCCGAGUGUAGAGGUGAAAUUCGUAGAUAUUCGGAAGAACACCAGUGGCGAAGGCGACUUACUGGACACAUAUUGACGCUGAGGUGCGAAAGCGUGGGGAGCAAACAGG
rnacentral:rRNA from 1 species